rnacentral:rRNA from 1 species
UACGUAGGGUGCAAGCGUUGUCCGGAAUUAUUGGGCGUAAAGGGCUCGUAGGCGGCCCAUCGCGUCGGGAGUGAAAAGCUGGGGCUUAACCCCAGUCCUGCUUCCGAUACGGGUGGACUAGAGGUAGGUAGGGGAGAACGGAAUUCCUGGUGUAGCGGUGAAAUGCGUAGAUAUCGGGAGGAACACCUGCGGUGUAGACGGCUUACUGGACCGUAACUGACGCUGAGGCACGAAAGCGUGGGGAGCAAACAGG